AAGAAAUACAGUGUAUUAAACAUCCCUUUUUCAAGUUAAAUGUUUUGUACUAUUAAACAAAUGUAUUCAUAUUGUGUUGUACUGAGUUAUGUUAGUCAAAUAGCACUGAUUUUUGCUGCAAUAUAGUUACCAAAUUUUUUUUAAGCCAUGCACACUGCUCACUUGUACUAAAACCCAACAUAUACAAGCAGUUAGAAGAAUAUUAACAGGAAUGGAAAAGUGUCAGGAAGGGAGGAGAUGAAACUAAAGGAGCUGCACAUCCUCCCUUUGUUCAGUCCAGUUGGUUCUUGAAAUUCAUUUCCUGACUAGCUUUCUGUUCAUAUAUACCAUAUCUGGAUUUACUCUGCUUAAGAUGUUCCACCACAACUGGCUUCUGUGGGAUCCUGCUAACCUCAUUGGGCUAUACAGGGGGUCUGACCCCAGGUGCUUCGGAUAGUGAAUUUUGCCUCAGAGAGAAGGGAAGAGAUAAAGACUGAUGACAAAUCCACCCCCUAGCCAUUGGCUCAGAGCGGUGUAUAUCCUCGCUAUUGACGUACACAGAUCUAGAACCAUGCCAUUGACGCAUGUACGCCAUGACCACCACUGUUGUGUGCUCUGUACAGCUCAGUGGUGAUGCAAGAGGAGAAAGUAUCAUUCCCCUGAAGCUUGUGCACACAAACACACAUAAGCACAGAUGUAUAAGUCAAUGUCAUCUGGCGAUCCCCCCUCUUUCACUCAGCUGGGCUGUGCCUUGUGGACCCAAAUUGAUUCCACAUUUCAUUCAAAUUAGUAAGAAGAGGCUUGUUUACCCCCAUUGAUUGGUUUACUCACUUUUUAAGGUGGAAAAAGUAAGCGGGUCAAGCAGGAAACGCAGAAUGUUUUUCCAUCAUGUCAGUUUAGAGAGAGAGAGAGAGAGAGAGUGAGAGAGACUUCAUAUGCUUUGUUUUCAAGUUUCUGUAUCUGCAAAUGUUCAACAUCAUGUCAAAUGUCACAGACUGACUUUAUUUCAUCUCACCCUCUGAACUGAAACAUUACAGCGAGAAACCCAUCCCUCAUCCACCCUCACAUUUGUAGAUACCAGCCUUCAUUUCUUAAGCCAAAACCUACAUCACUGUGCAUAAUUAAAAACUUUCCACAGAUAAGACCUCCUCUUAUGUCUAUUUUCCUUCCUGGGUUUGCUUUUGUUGUGAGGUCCAAGAAAAACACUGCAUGAGAAAUCUUCUGCAGGACGGGCCCACUACCGAGAUAAGGGUGUCAGGAAAAAUUGUGUUACCACUUGCGUGCUACAGUGCUGAUAAAUCGAGUCAUCGCAUCAUACACAAAACACCUGAACACAACACAAAUCUUCAUUAUGUUUGAGAUCACUCAUAUUACCUCAAACAUAAUGCACAUGUGAAACAAAUAC